rnacentral:rRNA from 1 species
ACGGGGGAUGCAAGCGUUAUCCGGAUUUAUUGGGUUUAAAGGGUGCGUAGGCGGUUUGAUAAGUCAGCGGUGAAAUAUUUCAGCUUAACUGAAAGGGUGCCGUUGAUACUGUCAGGCUUGAAUAUGGUUGCUGUGGGUGGAAUGUGUGGUGGAGGGGUGAAAUGCUUAGAUAUCAGGCAGAAUAACGAUUGCGAAGGCAGCUAACAAGGCCGAUAUUGACGCUGAUGCGCGAAAGUGUGGGGAUCAAACAG